AAGGUUGUCCUGCUGUAAGGUUUACCCCUUACAGUGCAAAGGUUGUCCUAGUUUGUGUAGAUCUAUCUUUAAUCAUAAAUUUGUUAGAUAUGAUCUAGAUUAAAUUUAUGAUUUAUUAGAUUUAAAAGAUGUUUAAAUCUGAAAUAAAAUCUCUUUGUUAAUAAUUUUUGUGCAAAGAAAUUGUUUAAAGUUGAAAUUGUUUCAAUUACAUGAACCCGUUUAGAUUAGAUCUAAAGUAGUUUCAUGUUUAUUUCACUUGCAACUUGAUUAUGAAUCAAACAUGCAAUAUGGUUGGUAGAAUCAUAUUAUAAAAUUAUUUUACAAAUAUGAAAAUUAUUUUUUGAAAAGCCGAACCCAACCCUCAGCCCAAAACUUAAUUAAGAAUUAAGAAGUUGUUUGAUUAGGUUCUAAGAUUGUGAAUUGAAGAACCUAAGACACAAAUCAUAACACAUUGGGUUAAUGGGUUAGUAGGAAUUAGGUCCAUUAAUUGGGUUAGACCUAUGGUUAGAUUAAAGAUGAACUUAAUUGGAGAAUUGACUAAAUCUAAUCAAUUGUUGUCUUAGAUUAG
rnacentral:lncRNA from 1 species